GCUGAAGUAGUCCGGAGGUGGCAGGCUUGGUGGGGAGAACCAGAAUCCAGGAGGGUAAUAGAAUCAAUGUGAAUCUAUGAUCCAGCAGGGAGUGAAUGGAGGCAUGGACCUUAAAUACUGGAGUCCAAUCAGGACAGCAGAUCCCCGCGGAGGCUUUGUAAAGUAGAAAUCCUGCCCAGAUUUCCCCCGAGCCCAGACAGCGAAACCACAGAGUCACAGAGGGUCGGAGGUUUAAACGUGACUCACAUCCUCCAUCAUGUCGCUGCUUCUUUCCCGGAACUCUUCAUCGGAUCAGGUUUCAGACUCUCAGAUCUGCUGCUGCUUUUGUGCAGGAAAAUAUAAACAGUAACCUGCUGAGUCUGCACAAGUUUAUUACCUGAUAAUGAUUAGGUCGAGUUGAUGUUUAUAAAAACACAUUCUGCACAACAAUACAACGGAUCUGUGAACUGGAGGGAAGAAAAGCCACAGAUCCAUGGAAUUAGUGGAAACUCUGUCCUCCCAUCCAUCAUCCUGACUGACACGUUCCACUGCGUUUAUCUGGACUGCAGUUAAAGAAAGCAUUAUGUCAUCUGAGUUACGACUGAGCAGAGUGUUUCCAGCAUCCAGACAGACUCCAGAGCCCAUAAAUCACCUGAACUUCCUCACUGUGAUCCUGCAUCGGUUCCUUCGGUCUGGAUUCAAACCAGAACGCAGCAGCAGGUGGAAGGAACUUUCUGCUGGAUGUGGUUUUAAAGACGGGAGGGAGGAACAAAUUACAAGCGAUCCAUCCUGAAGAGAGACCAGAAUGUACGUCCACGGCUGAUUUUGGAUUUGGGAGGCGGUUACAUCAUCUGAGAGAGAUUUUUAUGGCACCUUUGUGCUGAUGUGCAACAUAGAAGCAGUCAGUCAAACAGAAAUAUGGCUCAAAUGAUUCAGAGAUUUGGGUAUUUACAGAUACGCUCUUUUAUUUACAGAUCAGCCACAACAUUACAACCACCUGAAUAAUGAUGUGUAGGUUCCUCUAAAGCAGGGCUGUCAAACUCAUCUUAGUUCAGGUUCCACAUUCAGCCCAAUUUAAUCUCCAGCGACCAGUAAAAUCACAGCAGAAUGACCUAGAAAUAACCACAACUCCAUUUUUUUCUUUGUUUUAGUGCAAAAAUGUUAAUUCUGAAAAUGUUCACGUUUAAGGAAUUCUCUUUUUACAAAAUAUUAUGAACAACCUGAAAUUUCUGAAGAAAAAUAAGUUCAAUUUCAACAAGAACCUGGAACUGAAUGAUGUAGUAUUUUUACUUUAUGAUCAAAACGACAAAAGAACAAUAAAAAAGACAACAACAAAAACAAGACAAAAUGCUACAAAAGUAAGACACAAAAUGACAAAAGCAAGAAACAAGAUGGCAAAUAAUGAGACAAACGACCCGAAAAAACAAAAAAAGAAAAAAGUUACACAAAAAAGUUACAAAGUGACAAAAAAAUGGACAAACAACAAAAGCGAGAGAAAAAAUUAUACAAACGACACAAAUGACAAAGGCGAGAAAUAAAAUGCCAAAAAAGUAGACUAACAACCAAAGCGAGACAAAACGACACAAAACGACACACAAAAUGACAAAUAAAGCAAAACACAAAAUGACAAAAACAUGA